UACGUAGGCAGCGAGCGUUGUUCGGAGUUACUGGGCGUAAAGGGUGCGUAGGCGGUUGUUUAAGUUUGGUGUGAAAUCUCCCGGCUCAACUGGGAGGGUGCGCCGAAUACUGAAUGACUAGAGUGCGGGAGAGGGAAGUGGAAUUCCCGGUGUAGUGGUGAAAUGCGUAGAUAUCGGGAGGAACACCAGUGGCGAAGGCGACUUCCUGGCCUGUUCUUGACGCUGAGGCGCGAAAGCUAGGGGAGCAAACGGG
rnacentral:rRNA from 1 species